rnacentral:rRNA from 1 species
UACGGGGGGAGCAAGCGUUGUUCGGAUUUACUGGGCGUAAAGGGCGCGUAGGCGGCCACCGCAAGUCGAUUGUGAAAUCUCCGGGCUUAACCCGGAAAGGUCAACCUAUACUGCGGGGCUAGAGUGCAGAAGGGGCAACUGGAAUUCUCGGUGUAGCGGUGAAAUGCGUAGAUAUCGAGAGGAACACCUGCGGCGAAGGCGGGUUGCUGGGCUGACACUGACGCUGAAGUGCGAAAGCUAGGGGAGCGAACGGG